rnacentral:rRNA from 1 species
AAUGAACGCUGGCGGCAGGCCUAACACAUGCAAGUCGAACGGAUCCUUCGGGAUUAGUGGCGGACGGGUGAGUAACGCGUGGGAACAUACCCAAAGGUACGGAAUAGCCUCGGGAAACUGGGAGUAAUACCGUAUGUGCUCGAAAGAGGAAAGAUUUAUCGCCUUUGGAUUGGCCCGCGUUGGAUUGGGUAGUUGGUGGGGUAAUGGCCUACCAAGCCGACGAUCCAUAGCUGGUUUGAGAGGAUGAUCAGCCACACUGGGACUGGGACACGGCCCAGACUCCUACGGGAGGCAGCAGUGGGGAAUCUUAGACAAUGGGGGAAACCCUGAUCUAGCCAUGCCGCGUGAUCGAUGAAGGCCUUAGGGUUGUAAAGAUCUUUCAGGUGGGAAGAUAAUGACUGUACCACCAGAAGAAGCCCCGGCUAACUCCGUGCCAGCCGCCGCAGUAA